rnacentral:misc_RNA from 1 species
UCCGAGUUGACCCCGGCAGUCUCCCAUGAGUCCCCGGCACUACCCGCUGGCAACAUGGGACGAGGGUUGCGCUCGUUGCGGGACUUAACCCAACAUCUCACGACACGAGCUGACGACAACCAUGCACCACCUGUACACCGACCUUGCGGGGCAACCAUCUCUGGAAGUUUCCGGUGUAUGUCAAGCCUUGGUAAGGUUCUUCGCGUUGCAUCGAAUUAAUCCGCAUGCUCCGCCGCUUGUGCGGGCCCCCGUCAAUUUCUUUGAGUUUUAGCCUUGCGGCCGUACUCCCCAGGCGGGGCACUUAAUGCGUUUGCUGCGGCACAGAGCCCGUGGAAUGGACCCCACACCUAGUGCCCAACGUUUACGGCAUGGACUAC